rnacentral:tRNA from 1 species
GGAGAGAUGACCGAGGGGCCGAAGGUGCACGAUUGGAAGUCGUGUGUACCCGGAAGGGUACCGUGGGUUCAAAUCCCACUCUCUCCG